rnacentral:rRNA from 1 species
GACGAACGCUGGCGGCGUGCUUAACACAUGCAAGUCGAACGGGAAGGCCCUGCUUUUGUGGGGUGCUCGAGUGGCGAACGGGUGAGUAACACGUGAGUAACCUGCCCUUGACUUUGGGAUAACUUCAGGAAACUGGGGCUAAUACCGGAUAGGAGCUCCUGCUGCAUGGUGGGGGUUGGAAAGUUUCGGCGGUUGGGGAUGGACUCGCGGCUUAUCAGCUUGUUGGUGGGGUAGUGGCUUACCAAGGCUUUGACGGGUAGCCGGCCUGAGAGGGUGACCGGCCACAUUGGGACUGAGAUACGGACCAGACGCCUACGGGAGGCAGCAGUGGGGAAUAUUGCACAAUGGGCGGAAGCCUGAUGCAGCAACGCCGCGUGCGGGAUGACGGCCUUCGGGUUGUAAACCGCUUUCGCCUGUGACGAAGCGUGAGUGACGGUAAUGGGUAAAGAAGCACCGGCUAACUACGUG